GAGAAGAACGUAGCGAAAUGCGAUAAGUAGUGUGAAUUGCAGAAUUCAGUGAAUCAUCGAAUCUUUGAACGCACAUUGCGCCCCUUGGUAUUCCAUGGGGCAUGCCUGUUCGAGCGUCAUUUGUACCUUCAAGCCUUGCUUGGUGUUGGGUGUUUGUCUCGCCUCUGCGCGCAGACUCGCCUCAAAACAAUUGGCAGCCGGCGUAUUGAUUUCGGAGCGCAGUACAUCUCGCGCUUUGCACUCAGAACGACGACGUCCAAAAGUACAUUUUUACACUCUUGACCUCGGAUCAGGUAGGGAUACCCGCUGAACUUAAGCAUAUCAAUAAGCGGAGGA
rnacentral:misc_RNA from 1 species